AAACCCUCUGUUUUAUAGCAGUUUAAUUGUUAGGAAGGAUUUGAGAGUUGUGUACAAUCUUUUGUAAACAGUUAGUCUCACCCAAAUAUUUGUUUUGAAACUUUUCAGCUAUUCAAGACAUUUCCAAAUGCAACAAAGUAUCUCAAGAGAUCAAACUCAGAGCUUUGAACUUCCUAUUAAGAAAAGGAUGUAUACAUAUCAUACCUUCCACUCGUACAUACUUUUUUUAGGAUCAUUGAGGAGAUAUUCAUAUGGCAUGGUGCUUCAAUUGGUUUCUGGCGUGGGGAUGUCAAAUUGUUAAUUGAUGAUGUUGGGGAACUAAAAUCAACUAUUUUUUGUGUUGUUCCCCGUGUGCUUGAUAGAGUGUACUCAGGUUUAACACAAAAGAUUUCUUCUGGGGGCUUCUUGAAGAAGACAUUAAAGAAAGACAGGAAAAUCUCCUUUUAUGUUUAUUAUUAUUUUCAAAACUCAAAAAGAAAGACAGAUUUGAACUGUAAUUAUGUUUAUGUAUGAACAUGCGCACACAGUAGAAUCUCCUUUUAUGUU